AUGUGAGAAUCAUUAACGCCGUAAACCCAAGGUUUCCUACGCGAUGCUCGUCAUCGUAGGGUUAGUCGGGUCCUAAGUCGAGUCCGAAAGGGGUAGACGAUGGCAAAUUGGUUAAUAUUCCAAUACCAACAUUAGUGUGCGAUGGAAGGACGCUUAGGGCUAAGGGGGCUAGCGGAUGGAAGUGCUAGUCUAAGGUCGUAGGAGGUUAUACAGGCAAAUCCGUAUAACAAUACUCCGAGAACUGAAAGGCUUUUUGAAGUCUUCGGAUGGAUAGAAGAACCCCUGAUGCCGUCGAGCCAAGAAAAGUUUCUAAGUUUAGCUAAUGUUGCCCGUACCGUAAACCGACACAGGUGGGUGGGAUGAGUAUUCUAAGGCGCGUGGAAGAACUCUCUUUAAGGAACUCUGCAAAAUAGCACCGUAUCUUCGGUAUAAGGUGUGGUUAGCUUUGUAUUAGGAUUUACUCCGAAAGCAAGGAAACUUACAACAAAGAGUCCCUCCCGACUGUUUACCAAAAACACAGCACUCUGCUAACUCGUAAGAGGAUGUAUAGGGUGUGACGCCUGCCCGGUGCUCGAAGGUUAAUUGAUGGGGUUAGCAUUAGCGAAGCUCUUGAUCGAAGCCCGAGUAAACGGCGGCCGUAACUAUAACGGUCCUAAGGUAGCGAAAUUCCUUGUCGGUUAAAUACCGACCUGCAUGAAUGGCGUAACGAGAUGGGAGCUGUCUCAAAGAGGGAUCCAGUGAAAUUGUAGUGGAGGUGAAAAUUCCUCCUACCCGCGGCAAGACGGAAAGACCCCGUGGACCUUUACUACAGCUUGACACUGCUACUUGGAUAAGAAUGUGCAGGAUAGGUGGGAGGCUUUGAGUAUAUGACGCCAGUUGUAUAUGAGCCAUUGUUGAGAUACCACUCUUUCUUAUUUGGGUAGCUAACCAGCUUGAGUUAUCCUCAAGUGGGACAAUGUCUGGUGGGUAGUUUGACUGGGGCGGUCGCCUCCCAAAUAAUAACGGAGGCUUACAAAGGUUGGCUCAGAACGGUUGGAAAUCGUUCGUAGAGUAUAAAGGUAUAAGCCAGCUUAACUGCAAGACAUACAAGUCAAGCAGAGACGAAAGUCGGUCUUAGUGAUCCGGUGGUUCUGUGUGGAAGGGCCAUCGCUCAAAGGAUAAAAGGUACCCCGGGGAUAACAGGCUGAUCUCCCCCAAGAGCUCACAUCGACGGGGAGGUUUGGCACCUCGAUGUCGGCUCAUCGCAUCCUGGGGCUGGAGCAGGUCCCAAGGGUAUGGCUGUUCGCCAUUUAAAGCGGUACGCGAGCUGGGUUCAGAACGUCGUGAGACAGUUCGGUCCCUAUCUGCCGUGGGCGUAAGAAGAUUGAAGAGAUUUGACCCUAGUACGAGAGGACCGGGUUGAACAAACCACUGGUGUAGCUGUUGUUCUGCCAAGAGCAUCGCAGCGUAGCUAAGUUUGGAAAGGAUAAACGCUGAAAGCAUCUAAGCGUGAAGCCAACUCUAAGAUGAAUCUUCUCUAAGCUCUCUAGAAGACUACUAGUUUGAUAGGCUGGGUGUGUAAUGGAUGAAAGUCCUUUAGCUGACCAGUACUAAUAGAGCGUUUGGCUUAUCUUUAAUAAAGCAU
rnacentral:rRNA from 1 species